rnacentral:lncRNA from 1 species
GGAAAUGAACCUGAGAGAGAGGAAGGCACCUCUGUGGAACUCUAUGAGCUGGUCCAGUUUAGUGAAGUACCUGACCGGGACGCCUUCCGAGGCCUGCGGACGGAGCCCCAAACAGAAGCACGAGUCAGCUGACCAGAAUGCCACCGCCCACCAGGCCCAGGACUGACCCUGACCCCGAAAAAGCCUUGGGCUCUGACGCCCGCACCCC